AUCAACUUUCGAUGGUAGGAUAGAGGCCUACCAUGGUGGUAACGGGUAACGGGGUGUUAGGGCACGACACCGGAGAGGGAGCCUGAGAAACGGCUACCACAUCCAAGGAUGGCAGCAGGCGCGCAAAUUACCCAAUCCCGACACGGGGAGGUAGUGACAAUAAAUAACAAUACGGGGUCCUUUCGGGUUUCGUAAUUGGAAUGAGUACAAUUUAAAUCUCUUAACGAGGAACAAUUGGAGGGCAAGUCUGGUGCCAGCAGCCGCGGUAAUUCCAGCUCCAAUAGCGUAUAUUAAAGUUGUUGCAGUUAAAAAGCUCGUAGUUGAAUUUCGGGAUCAGUUCGUCGGUCGUGCCUCUGGUAUGUACUGGUGUUACUGGUUCCUCCCUUCUGAAGAACUGUCAUGUCAUUAAUUUGGUGUGGCGGGGAAUCAGGACUGUUACUUUGAAAAAAUUAGAGUGUUUAAAGCAGGCUCGCGCUUGAAUACAUUAGCAUGGAAUAAUGAAAUAGGACGUUUGAUCCUAUUUUGUUGGUUUCUAGGAUUGACGUAAUGAUUAAUAGGGAUAGUUGGGGGCAUUAGUAUUCAAUUGUCAGAGGUGAAAUUCUUGGAUUUAUUGAAGACUAACUACUGCGAAAGCAUUUGCCAAGGAUGUUUUCAUUAAUCAAGAACGAAAGUUAGGGGAUCGAAGACGAUCAGAUACCGUCGUAGUCUUAACCAUAAACUAUGCCGACUAGGGAUCGGAUGAUGUUAAUUUUUUAAUGACUCAUUCGGCGCCUUACGGGAAACCAAAGUGUUUGGGUUC
rnacentral:rRNA from 1 species